CCCAGGAAGUUGAGUCCCCGCGGGGAGGACCGGCAGGUGCGUCCGCGCUGCCGAGCACGAAGUAGUUGGAGGGGCACACCUCGACGACACGCUCGCAGAUGGGAGUUCAGAUACACACUUCCUGGCUUGCGUGCGAAGCGGGAUCGCAGAGCAAUAACCCCUCCAGCUUCCCUGGGCUGUUCCUUGUCUGCAAGAUACGCGGUGCACACUCGAUGCCACCAGGCCGCCACUGUCUGGCUCUGGGAUCUUGACCCACUUGCCUUCUGUACUUCAAAGUGUAGAAGCAGCAGCAGCUUGGAUAACUUUUGAUGGAUUUAGGAGGAUGGGAGACCUCGUGUGCAGACACCUGGAUGUAAUUGUCAUUCAGUCCUGCCCGUGACCCCCACCUGGAGUGCGCUGCCAAGGAGGAAACCGAGGCUUAGCGGGAUCCCUAAUCCAAGGCCACGACGAGUGAGCCUCCUGGGAUUCUGGCCAGGAUCCUGUCCCCAGGGAGCGCCUGUCACAGUCUUACUCUCUUCUGGGUGCAGCCACGUUUACCCUCGUGAGCCAACAAUCGAAUUCACAUGCUGAUACACACAUGGGGAGUGACGCCCUCAAAUGCUGGCAAACACACGCACAUCCACACUCGACUUGAAAUUUCAGUGGCUACUCCUGCUGUGUCCUGUGGUGUAGAGAGCACAGCCCCAGCAGCUCCCAUACAAAUGAGGUCUCCGAUUUCAGGUGCGAGAAAAAAGGAACCAGGUGCAGAAGCGGAACAUGAGAGUGGACGUGGAACGUGACCAUUGAACCACAGCAUAAGAGACAGCUACUCGGGAGGCUGAGGC